AAAAGAAAAAAGAAAGAAAGAAAGAAGAAGACUUAUUUGGCAGCAACAGUGGUGACGGCAGCUAGAUCAUCGGAUGGCGGCGAGGCAGACACAAUUUUCCUCUUUGGGUUUUGAUCCUCUAACUGUUGAGCUGUUUUCUUUGGGCUCUAUUACUUGCUUUAUGAAGAUAGGAGCAGAAGUUACAUUAUAUAUAAAGAAUGAUAAAAUAAUUGUAAAAAGAUGUGUUUUAUUUUAGUUUUAUAUUUAUUAUGUUUUUAUAUAAAGAUAGAUAACUUAGCAGACUAGCUCAACUGUUUAAAUUCAUGUGUCUCAGUUCCAAAGGAGAAACAUUUUCAAGGAAAUUAAUGUUUUUUUUUUGCAAGUGAGAAAAUUGAAUCAAUUUGAACCUUAUAAUUCAUCUAUUUUUAUGUAAUGUGGCCAUCAAGCAUUUAAGAUUUUUUAUGGGCGAUUAACUUUAAUAAUUGCAAUGUAAAAGGCAAUCUUUCUAGUAUUAAGGCCUUAUUAUACCAUUGUGGCCAUUGAAACUUUGUUAAAAUGUUAUCUCACAUUAAAAGAAUAUAAAAU
rnacentral:misc_RNA from 1 species